rnacentral:rRNA from 1 species
CCUGUAUGAAGUCGGAAUUGCUAGUAAUCGCGGAUCAGCAUGCCGCGGUGAAUACGUUCCCGGGCCUUGUACACACCGCCCGUCACACCAUGAGAGCCGGGAACACCCGAAGUCCGUAGUCUAACCGUAAGGAGGGCGCGGCCGAAGGUGGGUUUGGUAAUUGGGGUGAAGUCGUAACAAGGUAAC